GUUUACCCGCGGAAGCAAAGGAAAGGAAUUCCUGAAAAAGCCUUCCUGAGUUGGUUUUAAUCGGGAAGAAGCACCCUCCGGAAAGCGGAGAAUAGGCGCGGGGCUGCGCGUGGUUCUUCAAUCACAACAGAAGACAAAAGCCUCUCAGAGCUCCCACUCGGGUCGUAAGGAGGGGUUGGAAGCAAGGGAAAAUUUGGGGUAAAAUGAACAACCGCAUCCGCAAGCCCCAGUUAAUGAGUCCCAGGCCAUACCGGGAUUUCGGGGAUUUGCAUGUUUUCUAGAUCCUGGAUGGUUUGGCUGAAACCCCUGCGUCCUUAUUCCGGCUACAGUCCUUGGGGUAGGGGUGAGGGCAGGGAAAGUUAGCAAAUUCCAUAGCUAGGAAGUUUAGUGGCGUCGGGGACUAAUGCACCAAACUCUUCCCCUCCCCGCCUGAGUCUCCUACCAUCCCCCAGACCGCUCCCGGAUGCACAGGGUCCUGGCCCCCAGCUGCUUGUCACUGUCGGGCCCCUUCAGCAGCACGGGUGCGAGCCGCCAGCCCAGACAGAGCCUUUCUACACCCACCCCUCUCUGCGGUCUAGGGGAACCACCUCAGAAGUUACAAGGGUGUUAGGAGCGGAAAGAGGCAUCGCGGUCCCCUCACCGCCUGGCCUGCCUCCGUCGGGGAAAGCAGCCAGCUCACCCCCCGGUUCGCGGCGUCCAGGAGCCUCUGCCCGACACUCGCGAGCCUCAGGGGUGGGUCAGCGCCGCCGUGGAGCAGUCGGGUUACCGCCCCAUCUUCCCUCCCCGCGCCUGGGGGGCAGCUCGCGUUCUCGCCGCCAGUGCCCCCUCAUCCUGCCCCGCCCCCGCCAGGGCUGCCACCCCCGCACACACUGAGGCCCUGCCAGCGAGGGCCUGCGCUCGCCAACGCCCCCGCCCCGCCCUCCACGACACGGCCUCGCGCGACGUUUAGGGUCGCGACCACAGCGACGAAACGGCAGAUCCCGUCGGUGUUUGUGGGGAGACGAAGUCAGACCUCUGCCGGCGGCCUGGUGUACGGUCGGGCUGAGCCCUCCUGCGCAGACAGUGGAACAACCGGUUAUUCCUAUGGAAUUUAUUAAAGCAUUUUCCUUCAUCAAUGUGAGCUGGUUUACAGUGUUCUGUCAAUUUUCU